rnacentral:rRNA from 1 species
UACGUACCGGACAAACGUUAUUCGGAAUCACUGGGCUUAAAGAGUGCGUAGGCGGCCUCGCAGGUGAGGUGUGAAAGCCCACGGCCCAACCGUGGAAUUGCGCUUCAAACCGCAAGGCUUGAGGGAGACAGGGGUGAGCGGAACUGAUGGUGGAGCGGUGAAAUGCGUUGAUAUCAUCAGGAACACCUGUGGCGAAGGCGGCUCACUGGGUCUUUUCUGACGCUGAGGCACGAAAGCUAGGGGAGCGAACGGG